rnacentral:rRNA from 1 species
UACGAAGGGGGAGCUAGCGUUGCUCGGAAUCACUGGGCGUAAAGGGUGCGUAGGCGGGUCUUUUAAGUCAGGGGUGAAAUCCUGGAGCUCAACUCCCAGAACUGCCUUUGAUACUGAAGAUCUUGAGUUCGGGGAGAGGUGAGUGGAACUGCGAGUGUAGAGGUGAAAUUCGUAGAUAUUCGCAAGAACACCAGUGGCGAAGGCGGCUCACUGGCCCGAUACUGACGCUGAGGCACGGAAAAGCGUGGGGAGCAAACAGG